GACGAACGCUGGCGGCGUGCUUAACACAUGCAAGUCGAACGGAAAGGCGCUGCAUCUUUGUGGUUCGCGAGUGGCGAACGGGUGAGUAACACGUGAGUGACCUGCCGUUGACUUUGGGAUGACUUCAGGAAACUGGGGCUAAUACUGGAGAGGAGUGUCGGCUGAAUGGAGGGGGGGGGAAAGGGGCGGCGGUUGGGGAUGGUCUCGCGGCUGAUCAGCUUGUUUGGGGGGGAGUGGUUUACCAAGGCUCUGACGGGUAGCCGGCCUGAGAGGGUGACCGGCCACAUUGGGCCUGAGAUACGGCCCAGACUCCUACGGUGGACAGCAGUGGCGAGUAUUGCACAAUGGGCCGAAGCCUGAUGCAGCAACGCCGCGUGCGGGAUGACGGCCUUCCGGUUGUAAACCGCUUUCGCCUGUGACGAAGCGUGAGUGACGGUAACGGGUAAAGAAGCACCGGCUAACUACGUG
rnacentral:rRNA from 1 species